rnacentral:misc_RNA from 1 species
GAAACCCUUCUCAUUAUUAAAUUUAUUUUUAAUAUUGGAUGUUGAAUGUUGCAAAAUGAAGUUCAUUUUGCUCAUUUUAAAUGCAACAAAGUUAUAUUCAGGAAAAGAAAAAAAAAAGGGAAC